GACGAACGCUGGCGGCGUGCUUAACACAUGCAAGUCGAACGGAAAGACCCUGCUUUUGUGGGGUGCUCGAGUGGCGAACGGGUGAGUAACACGUGAGUAACCUGCCCUUGACUUUGGGAUAACUUCAGGAAACUGGGGCUAAUACCGGAUAGGAGCUCCUGCUGCAUGGUGGGGGUUGGAAAGUUUCGGCGGUUGGGGAUGGACUCGCGGCUUAUCAGCUUGUUGGUGGGGUAGUGGCUUACCAAGGCUUUGACGGGUAGCCGGCCUGAGAGGGUGACCGGCCACAUUGGGACUGAGAUACGGCCCAGACUCCUACGGGAGGCAGCAGUGGGGAAUAUUGCACAAUGGGCGGAAGCCUGAUGCAGCAACGCCGCGCGCGGGAUGACGGCCUUCGGGUUGUAAACCGCUUUCGCCUGUGACGAAGCGUGAGUGACGGUAAUGGGUAAAGAAGCACCGGCUAACUACGUG
rnacentral:rRNA from 1 species